rnacentral:piRNA from 1 species
UAGCCACACGUGUGUCUAGAGGAUAGCACA